rnacentral:rRNA from 1 species
CCCUUAGAUGUUCUGGGCGGCCCGCGCACUACAUUGGCACUGGCAACAAGAUCCUAGAUCUGAUAUUUCGGGGUAUUCUACCAACUGGUGUCGUGACUGGGAUUAACCCCUGCAAUUAUUGGUUAUGAACGAGGAAUUCCUUGUAAUCACGGUUUAUCAACCCGUGUUGAAUGCGUCCCUGCCCUUUGUACACACCGCCCGUCGCUCCUACCGAUGAAUCGUCCGGUGAAGUUCAUGGAGCCGCGGCUGCUCCAGCUGUUUUCGAAGUGAAAUGGACCUCAUGAUUUAGAGGAAGGAGAAGUCGUAACA